AUCGCUUCUCGGCCUUUUGGCUAAGAUCAAGUGUAGUAUCUGUUCUUAUCAGAAUUGAGGCCCAAAUAGCCAGGCUCCCCCAGUCUGUGUUCAGGUUGAGGCAAGGGAGCGACUGAGAGUAAAUGCCAUGCCAGCUUCC
rnacentral:snRNA from 1 species